rnacentral:lncRNA from 12 species
UGCUAUAUUGAAGAUACUGAAGACAAAGUGCCCAUCCCUGAGGAGUUUACAAAAUUAGCAACUUGGAGGUGAAGCUCCCUUUCCGAGGGAUCACCUGCUUGUGAGCCACUGACUCCUGGGCCACACUGCUUGAGAUGCCUGUGCGCCACGGUGAGACUAAUAUCAGGGUACAUCUCUGGACCCCACACCUAUCAUUCUAGGACCCAAGCCUCAUCUGUUUCCCCUUCUCCUUUUGGGCAUUUUUGGUGUCAUAAGAUCCCUGAUGAGCUAGCCCUCAACUUGUAUGUAAUGCUCAACAUUUUCCUCCCUUC